UCCACGCUGUAAACGAUGGAUGCUAGGUGUGGGAGGUCUAAGAUUCCUUCUGCGCCGAAGCUAACGCAUUAAGCAUCCCGCCUGGGGAGUACGGUCGCAAGAUUAAAACUCAAAGGAAUUGACGGGGGCCCGCACAAGUGGUGGAGCAUGUGGUUUAAUUCGAUGCAACGCGAAAAACCUUACCCAGACUUGACAUCUCGGAAAGUUGAAUGAAAGUUUGAUGUGCCCGGGGU
rnacentral:rRNA from 1 species